ACGGAAGGCAGCAGUAGGGAAUCUUCGGCAAUGGGGGCAACCCUGACCGAGCAACGCCGCGUGCGUGAAGAAGGUUUUCGGAUCGUAAAGCUCUGUUGUAAGAGAAGAACGUGUGUGAGAGUGGAAAGUUCACACAGUGACGGUAACUUACCAGAAAGGGACGGCUAACUACGUGCCAGCAGCCGCGGUAAUACGUAGGUCCCGAGCGUUGUCCGGAUUUAUUGGGCGUAAAGCGAGCGCAGGCGGUUUAAUAAGUCUGAAGUGAAAGGCAGUGGCUUAACCAUUGUUCGCUUUGGAAACUGUUAGACUUGAGUGCAGAAGGGGAGAGUGGAAUUCGAUGUGUAGCGGUGAAAUGCGUAGAUAUAUGGAGGAACACCGGUGGCGAAAGUGGCUCUCUGGUCUGUAACUGACGCUGAGGCUCGAAAGCGUGGGGAGCAAACAGGAUUAGAUACCCUGGUA
rnacentral:rRNA from 1 species